UUAAAAAUUAAAAUUAUGGGGAUCCUCUUUUCUCUCCACCCUCUUCCCCAAACCUAAGAGGUAGAAGAAAAGGAAAAUGUUACAACCAACUUUUAGAGGGAAAAUCAUGUUUACUUUUCUCUUUAAAAAUUUGGAGCAAUUGAAAUAAACUAGGAAGAACUUAAUUACUAAACGUGGUUAAGGUUGAAUGGCUCGUAAUUAAUUUUGGAGGUGGGGCUUAUUUAAGCAGCUAAGAGAUUCAGUAUUAAAAAGUAAAGUAUGUGAUUUUUCUUGAUCUAUGGGCCACUUAUUUUUAAUUUUAUUUUGAGACAGAGUCUCUGUCGCCCAGGCUGGAGUACAGUGGCGUGAUCACAGCUCACUACAGCCUCGACCGCCUGGGCUCAAGUCAUCUUCCCACCUCAGCCUCCUAAGUAGCUGGGACCACAGGUGUGCACCACUGUACCUGGCUAAUUUUUUGAUAUUUUGUAGAAACAAGGUCUCACUACGUUGCCCAGGAUGAUCUCAAACUCCUGAGUCAAGUGAUUCUCCCACCUCAGCCUCCCAAAGUGGUGGGACCACAGGCAUGAGCCAUUACGCCCAGCCUGUCCACUUUUUAUAAGAACAGCUUUCAGUUGUUUUCUUAUUGCUAUGGGAAUUGUGGAUGCCCUGCCAUCAAAUGCCAGUUGAUCAGACUUUGUUUCUGAGAUACUCAAACCUACACUGUGAAGCUAUAGCCUUCUUUAGUUUAUUUGAACAUUCUGCCUAUAUUUACUGAAUGCGCUUACUCUGCCGGUUGCUUUUCUAAGUCUUGGAAUAUAGGAGCAGUGAACAAGAUGUGCCAAAAUCCUGUGCUUGUGGAGCUUCCAUUAUAGUGGGGGGAGACACAGUAAGCAAAGUAAAACAUAGUAUGUUAGGUGGUGAUAAGUGCUGUGGAGAAAAAUAAAGAGGGUAAGUUGUUAGUAGGGCAAGGGGGAGGACAUGCAGUUUUUAAAAGGGUGGUCAGAAAGAUCUCUCUGAAAAGGUGACUUAUGGGGUUGGGUAAAGACCUGAAGAAGGUGAGGGUAUAAGCCACGUGGAUACCUGGAGAAGAUCAUUCUAGGCAGAGGGAACAUGGCUGUGCCUGGGAGGUUUCAGGAUAGCUCCUGAGCCAGGAUCACGCCACUGCACUCCAGCCUGAGUGACAAAGCAAGAGCCUAGCUCAAAAAGGAAAAAAAACAGAAUGGGCCGGGUGUGGUGGCUCACGCCUGUAAUCCCAGCACUUUGGGAGGCCAAGGUUGGUGGAUCACCUGAGGUCAGGAGUUCGAGACCAGCCUGGCCAACAUGGCAAAACCCAGUCUCUAUGAAAAAUACAAAAAUU
rnacentral:lncRNA from 1 species